CCCUUAGAUGUUCUGGGCUGCACGCGUGCUACAAUGAAGCGUCCAACAAGAUGCGAAGCCGAAAGGCUCAGCGGAUCUUUGAAGUCGUUUCGUGACCGGGACAGUUGAUUGCAAUUAUUCGACUCGAACGAGGAAUUCCUUGUAAUCGCGAUUCAUCAUAUCGCGCUGAAUACGUCCCUGCCCUUUGUACCCACCGCCCGUCGCUCCUACCGAUUGAGCGAUCCGGUGAAUUAUUUGGAGUGUCCACGCAAGCCAAUCCGUUUACGUGGGUGCGAAAUUUUGUAAACCUUAUCGCUUAGAGGAAGGAAAAGUCGUAACA
rnacentral:rRNA from 1 species